rnacentral:lncRNA from 1 species
UCUUCUAUCUAAAUAGAGGAACUCUCAUAAUGAAAUUAAUUAAAUUCGAAUUGACAUGGUAUCAGAGCCACAAAUAAAAUACCUCAGUGCUUGCUCGUGGGAGUAGGUCUUGUGGUUUUGAAAACCAAUUUUAAAUCGUUUGAGUGCUUCUUUUUGGCUGCCAGGCUCUUCAAUUCUGGGUUUUGGUAGAUGAGUUUUGGUUUCUAUUUGAAGCUUUAUGGAAUUUCCAUCAAUUUGCUUCUUUGGCGUUCUUGGCGUCUUCAAUUCAAUCGGCACAUGUCGACGACUUCUGUGGUGAUUUGGUGGUCUUGGAGUUCUG